UACGUAGGCAGCAAGCGUUGUUCGGAGUUACUGGGCGUAAAGGGUGCGUAGGCGGCUUCUUAAGUCUGGUGUGAAAUCUCCCGGCUCAACUGGGAGGGUGCGCCGGAUACUGAGGGGCUAGAGUGUGGGAGAGGAAAGUGGAAUUCCUGGUGUAGCGGUGAAAUGCGUAGAUAUCAGGAGGAACACCAAUGGCGAAGGCAGCUCGCUGGGACGGUACUGACACUGAGACGCGAAAGCGUGGGGAGCAAACAGG
rnacentral:rRNA from 1 species